CCUACGGGUGGCAGCAGUGAGGAAUAUUGGUCAAUGGACGCAAGUCUGAACCAGCCAUGCCGCGUGAAGGAAGACGGCUCUAUGAGUUGUAAACUGCUUUUGUACGAGGGUAAAGGCAGAUACGUGUACCUGUCUGAACGUAUCGUACGAAUAAGGCUCGGCUAACUCCGUGCCAGCAGCCGCGGUAAUACGGAGGAUUCAAGCGUUAUCCGGAUUUAUUGGGUUUAAAGGGUGCGUAGGGGGGUGGUUAAGUUAGAGGUGAAAGUUUGAGGCUCAACUUCGGAAUUGCAGUUGAUACUGUUCGGCUAGAGAGUAGGUGCGGUAGGCGGAAUGUGUGGUGUAGCGGUGAAAUGCUUAGAGAUCAUACAGAACACCGAUUGCGAAGGCAGCUUACUAAGCUGCUUCUGACGUUGAGGCUCGAAAGCGUGGGGAGCAAACAGGAUUAGAUACCCCAGUAGUC
rnacentral:rRNA from 1 species